rnacentral:rRNA from 1 species
UACGUAGGGGACAAGCGUUGCUCGGAAUCACUGGCGUAAAGCGCACGUAGGCGGAUUGUUAAGUCAGGGGUGAAAUCCUGGAGCUCAACUCCAGAACUGCCUUUGAUACUGGCGACUUCGAGUCCGGGAGAGGUGAGUGGAACUGCGAGUGUAGAGGUGAAAUUCGUAGAUAUUCGCAAGAACACCAGUGGCGAAGGCGGCUCACUGGUCCGGUACUGACGCUGAGGUGCGAAAGCGUGGGGAGCAAACAGG